GAUGAACGCUGGCGGCGUGCCUAAUACAUGCCAGUCGAGUGAACAGACGAGGAGCUUGCUCCUCUGACGUUAGCGGCGGACGGGUGAGUAACACGUGGAUAACCUACCUAUAAGACUGGGAUAACUUCGGGAAACCGGAGCUAAUACCGGAUAAUAUAUUGAACCGCAUGGUUCAAUAGUGAAAGACGGUUUUGCUGUCACUUAUAGAUGGAUCCGCGCCGCAUUAGCUAGUUGGUAAGGUAACGGCUUACCAAGGCGACGAUGCGUAGCCGACCUGAGAGGGUGAUCGGCCACACUGGAACUGAGACACGGUCCAGACUCCUACGGGAGGCAGCAGUAGGGAAUCUUCCGCAAUGGGCGAAAGCCUGACGGAGCAACGCCGCGUGAGUGAUGAAGGUCUUCGGAUCGUAAAACUCUGUUAUUAGGGAAGAACAAAUGUGUAAGUAACUAUGCACGUCUUGACGGUACCUAAUCAGAAAGCCACGGCUAACUACGUG
rnacentral:rRNA from 1 species